rnacentral:rRNA from 1 species
UACGGAGGGAGCUAGCGUUGUUCGGAAUUACUGGGCGUAAAGCGCACGUAGGCGGCUAUUCAAGUCAGAGGUGAAAGCCCAGGGCUCAACCUUGGAACUGCCUUUGAAACUAGAUAGCUAGAAUCCUGGAGAGGCGAGUGGAAUUCCGAGUGUAGAGGUGAAAUUCGUAGAUAUUCGGAAGAACACCAGUGGCGAAGGCGACUCGCUGGACAGGCAUUGACGCUGAGGUGCGAAAGCGUGGGGAGCAAACAGG